rnacentral:rRNA from 1 species
GAUGAACGCUCGCUACAGGCUUAACACAUGCAAGUCGAGGGGAAACGACAUCGAAAGCUUGCUUUUGAUGGGCGUCGACCGGCGCACGGGUGGGUAACGCGUAUCCAACCUGCCCACCACUUGGGGAUAACCUUGCGAAAGUAAGACUAAUACCCAAUGAUAUCCCACGAAGACAUCUGAAUGGGAUUAAAGAUUUAUCGGUGAUGGAUGGGGAUGCGUCUGAUUAGCUUGUUGGCGGGGUAACGGCCCACCAAGGCAACGAUCAGUAGGGGUUCUGAGAGGAAGGUCCCCCACAUUGGAACUGAGACACGGUCCAAACUCCUACGGGAGGCAGCAGUGAGGAAUAUUGGUCAAUGGGCGAGAGCCUGAACCAGCCAAGUAGCGUGCAGGAAGACGGCCCUAUGGGUGGUAAACUGCUUUUAUAAGGGAAUAAAGUGGGUCACGUGUGACUUUUUGCAUGUACCUUAUGAAUAAGGACCGGCUAAUUCCGUG